UGUCACCUGACGGAGAAGGAGCUUUGAGCAGCCACUACUCCAGCAUGAAAAGUCAUUUUUUGCUGUUGAUACAUUAAAGUCUAAAGCAUGAUUUACGUGAGUGACUUUCUUGUCCAUACUGACUACUUGUGACAAGUAUGACUACUGCACCACACUAUGUCUAUUACUCCUGUACACUGACUUGAAUGUACAUUUGAAUUUUCGAAAAUACAGCAAUUUAAAUUUCCAAACUGAUCAAUGGCACCUCAUUCCAUGGUACAGAGAAGGAAUACAGAAAUUUAU